UAGAGAUGUUCUAUUGGAAGGUACCAGAGU
rnacentral:piRNA from 1 species